rnacentral:sRNA from 1 species
ACACGGGAAAGGAGGUGGUCCAGCAGAUGAGCUACAGCAGGACACGUGAGGUGGCCGUCAGCUAGCACCACGUUCUGCUCCGGCGGGGAGAACCCGUACGGAGAGACGGUCGUGGAAGCCGGUGUGGUGCCGGCGAGUUCCCGACGGUCACCCGUGAUCCCCGGGCCCGAGCCUUGUCCGGUUCGGCUGCGCGCACCGCCCGGUGCGGCCCGGGGAUCACGCACGUC